AUGUCGGCAGUAAGUGUGUCUGCUCCUAAAGUGAUCGUCCUGCCGCCGUCCAGUGAAGAGAUUUCCAGCAAGAAGGCAGCAACAGUGAUGUGUGUGGCCAGCAAUGGUUUCCCUUCAGACUGGAGUCUGAGCUGGAAAGUGAAUGGGAAGAUGUCAGGAUCUCAGGAGAACAGAGCUGGAGUCCUACAGAAAGACGGCGGUCUGUACAGCUGGAGCAGCAGUCUGACUCUCACUGAACAAGAAUGGAUCAACAGAGACUCAGUGAUCUGUGAGAUCAGUCGGGAAGGUCAGACAGUCACUGGAGAAGUGAAGAAAGAUCUGUGUUCUGAGUAG